CAUGGGUCACUGAAACCUCUUUUUGGAGGUUGCAGUGAGCCGAGAUUGCGCCACUGCACUCCAGCUUGGGUGACAAAGCGAGACUGUCUCAAAAAAAAAAAAAUUAAACCUCUUUUCUCUAGAAAUUACCCAGUCUCAGGUAUUCCUUUACAGCAAUGGAAGAACAGCCUAAUACAUGCUUAGAGCACUGGUGCUGUGAAGUGUGAGGUUAGGGCUGAAAAAUGAUCUCUGCUUUGUCCCCUCUCCUGACUAAUUCAGCAUUUCUCAACCACUGGACUCUAUUUACGUGUGUGGUGCAAACCUUUAAUCAUUAUGCAAAAUUGUUUUUGCUGCAGCAAAGAAAAGAUGGCAGUCUAUGUUGUCCACUGGAUAGAACGUUGAGAUGCAGGGCAAAGCAGGGCACAGCUCUCCCUCUACACCAAGGACACGUUUUACCAUUUCACCAUGGCAUGAUGCGGCAUGAAGGCCCUUGCUAGAAGCCAGUGCCAUUCUCUUGGACUUCCCAGCCUCCAGAACCGUGAGCCAAAUAAAUUUCUGUUGAUUAUAAAUUACCCAGUUGGUGGUAUUCUGUUGUAGCAACACAAAACGGACUAAGACACACUACAAUAAAUGUGGCAGUUUAUCUUGAAUAAAACCUGAAGUUUAAAGUUCAAGAAAGAGUGACAGCUUGUGAGAUACUGUGCAGUGGCAGAAGUGUUACCAGAAUGGAAUCCCAAUCCAGACCCCAAGAGAGGGUUCUUGGACCUUGUGCAAGAAACAAUUUGGGGUGAGUCCAUAUAGUAAAGUAAAAGCAAGUUUAUUAGAGAAGUAAAGAAACAAAAGAAUGGUUACUACAUAAGCAGAGCAGCCCCAAGGGCUGCUGGUUGGCUGUUUUUAAUCAUUAUUUCUUAAUUAUAUGCUAAACAAGGGAUGGAUUAUUCAUGAGUUUUCCAGGAAAGGGGUGGGAAAUUCCCGGAACUGAGGGUUCCUCCCCUUUUUAGGUCAUACAGACUAACUUCCUU
rnacentral:lncRNA from 1 species